AGUGAACGCUGGCGGCAGGCCUAAUACAUGCAAGUCGAACGGCAGCACAGCAGAGCUUGCUCUGUGGGUGGCGAGUGGCGGACGGGUGAGGAAUACAUGGGAAUCUGCCCAGUCGUGGGGGAUAACGUAGGGAAACUUACGCUAAUACCGCAUGCGCCCUUCGGGGGAAAGCCGGGGACCUUCGGGCCUGGCGCGAUUGGAUGAGCCCAUGUCGGAUUAGCUAGUUGGCGGGGUAAAGGCCCACCAAGGCGACGAUCCGUAGCUGGUCUGAGAGGAUGAUCAGCCACACGGGAACUGAGACACGGUCCAGACUCCUACGGGAGGCAGCAGUAGGGAAUAUUGGACAAUGGGCGCAAGCCUGAUCCAGCCAUGCCGCGUGAGUGAAGAAGGCCCUCGGGUUGUAAAGCUCUUUUGUCCGGAAAGAAAAGCGCCGGGUUAAUACCCUGGUGUCCUGACGGUACCGGAAGAAUAAGCACCGGCUAACUUCGUGCCAGCCGCCGCAGUAAAAC
rnacentral:rRNA from 1 species